CGGGGAGGAGGCGCCGGCAGCUCCACGCUUCUCCGCGCCGCCGCCGCCGCCGCCGCUGCCCCUCGCCCGCCGCGCGCCGUCCUCUUGGGGCAAAGUUUCGGGGUCUGCGAUCGACAAGAGACCGGGGCGACCCUCAGCAAGUCUUCCUUCCGUGAAGGUUGUGUAGUGAGGGGCUCGAAGGGGACGAGGUGAUUAGGCGGAGGGGGCCGGAGUAGAUAGGGGGGCAGCAGGAAGGAGAGGACCCCGAGCUCCGGGGGGGACAGGGUAGGAGGAUGCGCCGCGGGGGAUCCCUGCAGGGAUCGGGAAACCCGGAGCCCGGCUUGAGCCUUAGUCUCAGCACCUUCCCGGGAUCUUACAAAGUUGCAACAACAAAAAAGGAGGGGCAGGACCGGGGGAAAGGGGUGGGAUAGGGCUGCGGUGGCAGGCGCAAGGUUUGGAGUUACAACUGUUUAUUUAGUCCUUAGACUCCCAGGGGGCGGGAGCUGCGCGGGAAUGGGGGUGCUGCAGGCAGCAAUUUCCAAGCAAACACUGGGGUGGGGGGGCAUGAGACUUUGUUUCUGGGCGCGGAGCUCCCUGGCGCCCGUGUGUGUCACCGCCAGUCUCCAGGGACUAAGGCGGAGCUCACAACAGGUGGGGAGGGGGACAAGGAAUCAAAGUUUCCGAGCGCAGCAGGGUGUGAGGGGGGAGAGAAGGGGAGGCGGGGGCGCGAGGAGGCGGAGGCAGCAGAUGACCACGACCCUGCGGCAGCUGGCAAACUCCUCGGCUCCCGGCGCCGCCGCCACCGCCUCGGUCCCCACCCGAAGCGCGCGCCGCCUCGUCUGGUCGGCUCCAGAGAGACGUCUCCGAGGGACAGGAACCGAGAAUCGAGAGCACGGGAGGAAAGCUGCGCGCAGGACAGCCAGCUAUAGGAGAAAACCAAGGACAUAUACCUCUAUCAUUUGCCUGAAGAAGAACAGGAAUGCACACCUUGGCUGGAAAUCAGUGAUCAGGUACUGUCCUGCUGCCCACUGUGGACCAUCAUCAAAGAAAAGAGUUCUUGAGCCAAAGAUGCUGAUUUGAUGGUGGAAGUGAUGGAGAAUAAGUAAGCUGCUUCGAUGAAGUCUGGAUUAUAUCACAAGAAAAACUACAGGCACGGGGAACAAUAGAAAUAAUUUGGGAUGUCCUAGAAAGGACUAGAGACUAGAACAUGAAAACCCGCUGUGUAAGACCAUUCCAGGCAGAGACAACAGCAAUUACUUUUCUCAUUGGUGUGGCAAAAAUACUGGAGAAAAGCAACUCAGGAGGUCACGUUGAUUUUGGCUGAGUGUUUAUACAAGGAUACAGACCAUCCCAGGUGAUGGCAUCAUCCUGGCAGCAGGAGGCUGAGGCAGCUGGUCAGACUUCAUCUGCAAUCAGGACGCAGAGGAAGAUGAACGCUUGGUGUUCAGCUUGCCUAGAAUGGGAUGGUGCCUUCUACAUUUAGGUAUUUCUUAGAAGAUUUUCAUGUAUUCCGGGCUAAUCUUGAAUUCACCAUACAACCCUGUACUCUGGAUCUCCCCACCUCUUCCUCUCCAGUGUUAAGAGAGCAGAUGUGCACCAUGCCUGACUCAUGCCCCACCAGGGACUGAACCCAGGGCUUCCUGCCUGCCAGUUUAUCCAUUUCAUGAGGUGCAUCGGUCACGACCAUAUCCC
ensembl:lncRNA